ensembl:lncRNA
GUGUGUGUGUGUGUGUGUGUGUGUGUGUGUGUGUGUGUGUGUGUGUGUGUGUGUGUGUGUGUGUGUGUGUGUGUGUGUGUGCGCGUGUGUGCAUUGCGUUGAUCGAUACAAACGUUCAGCCUUUGUGUCUGUAUUGGUCUGGACUGUGACUGCAUUGUGUGAGGACUUCCACAGCGAAGUGCAUCUGUGGCAAUGCGGGUAGAGCAAAUGAGCAAGCAAGGGGUCCAACAGACGAGUCCAAUCAUUCACGAUGGCAUAUUGUAAAUGCGGAUUGGGAGAUGUCGCAUUGAUCGUUCCAGGAUAUCGUGCAGAAUGUGCAUCAAAGGACCCUUUGCAUUCCCCGUGCUAUGCUACUUUUCAUAUCGUUGAAAGGAAAAUUCCUGCUGAUGAACCUGGAAAUGGCACUAGAAGGGAGUUGUAGCCACUGCAGCUUAGCAAGGUACAGAUAUUCUACAGACCAUCUACCACACUUACUGCAUACUUCAAGGUGGGGAACUUCAAAUUGUGAAACGCUAUCCCCUUCGUCAGCAACCUUUUAUGCACUAUAUACCAUGUACCAUAUGCCAUGUAUGCACAAAGUUACAAAGUAAAUGUUCAUCACUGGUAUUACACAGGUCUUGUGUGUGUGUAUGUGUGUGUGUGUGUAGUUAAUUUAUAUGGUGUGCUGGGGAUUUCCAGGACACUGUGCAAAUUGUAGCUGUGAGCAGAGGUGUCAUAGUAAUUGAUUUAUCCAAAGAUUAGGGUCCUGGAUGCCUUUCCAGUGCACGUGUCUCUGUGUGUUCAUGAUAAUGAAUGUAGUGCACCUCAGGAACAGGCUACCUUCACUAAGGGAUUUACCGGCAUGGCAACGAGCGCGUCAGAACUGUAGCAGAACCAGUAGCUGCUGUAUUACUGAACUCUGUACAGUAUUUAAAUUCAAAUGUGUUCGUCUAUUUAGAACUAUGCUAAUGUAGGCUUUCACACGUCGGUAUUUCCUACUGUGUGUGUGCAUGCAUAUGUGUGUGUGUGUGUGUGUAUGCAUAUGUGUGUGUGUGUGUCUUUUUUUAAUGUGUGUGCCCCAUUUCAUAGCAGAAGGUCUACAAUAGUGCAGUAGGUCAUAGGCACCAUGGGGUGAGGGAGAGAGAGGGAAAUGGAGAGGGAGCAACUAAAACCAGAAACAAGGAAAACAUGCAGAGGAGGAAAGAUGGGCGGUGGGGAAAAAAAAAGAAAGAAUGGAUAAAUGAAUGAAUGAAUGA